rnacentral:rRNA from 1 species
CAGUCGCCGCGGUAAUACGUAGGGGGCUAGCGUUGCUCGGAAUUACUGGGCGUAAAGGGCGCGUAGGCGGAUGAUUAAGUCGAGGGUGAAAGCCCGGGGCUCAACCUCGGAACUGCCUUUGAUACUGGUCAUCUUGAGUACGGGAGAGGUGUGUGGAACUCCGAGUGUAGAGGUGAAAUUCGUAGAUAUGCGGAGGAACACCGAUGGCGAAGGCAAUCCCCUGGGCCUGCACUGACGCUCAUGCACGAAAGCGUGGGGAGCAAACAGGAUUAGAUACCCCCGUAGUCCCUGUCUCUUAUAC